rnacentral:tRNA from 1 species
UAGGUGCCGGGGCUUCUCCCGUUUUGAGACAGACGGGAGAAGA